rnacentral:tRNA from 1 species
CAGGUUAAACUUGUAGUUAAGGAUUUCAUUUACACUGAAAUAUUUUAUCGUGCGAAUCGAUAUAACUUGA